UGGGGAAUAUUGCGCAAUGGGGGAAACCCUGACGCAGCAACGCCGCGUGAAGGAUGAAGGCUCUUGGGUUGUAAACUUCUUUGAUUAGGGACGAAUAAUGACGGUACCUAAAAAACAAGCCACGGCUAACUACGUGCCAGCAGCCGCGGUAAUACGUAGGUGGCGAGCGUUGUCCGGAAUUACUGGGUGUAAAGGGCGUGUAGGCGGGGAUGCAAGUCGGAUGUGAAAUUCCAGAGCUUAACUCUGGCGCUGCAACCGAAACUGUGUCUCUUGAGUACUGGAGAGGAAAGUGGAAUUCCUAGUGUAGCGGUGAAAUGCGUAGAUAUUAGGAGGAACACCAGUGGCGAAGGCGGCUUUCUGGACAGAAACUGACGCUGAGGCGCGAAAGCGUGGGGAGCAAACA
rnacentral:rRNA from 1 species